GUCUGGGUGGCUCAGUGGUUGAGCAUCUGCCUUUGACUCAGGUCAUGAUCCCGAGGUCUUGGGAUCGAGUCCCACAUCAGGCU
rnacentral:tRNA from 1 species